rnacentral:rRNA from 1 species
AAGAGACACAUAUACCUCACAAGGGAAAUGCCUGGGAGUUUAAAAAAUUCUCCCUUUAGCUGGGAGAUUCCGCCAGUAUUCAUAUGCGUGUCUCACAGAUUAAGCCAUGCAUGUCUAAGUAUAAACAACUUUGUGCUGUGAAACUAAGAAUGGCUCAUUAAAUCAAUUAUAGAUUAUAUGAUGGUUGUUGCUACAAGGAUAACUGUGGUAAUUCUAGAGAUAAUACAUGCUUUCCAGCCCCUACUUCUGGAAGGGGUGUAUUUAAUAAAUAAAAAUCAACUUUGUUGGUGAAUCAUAAUAACUUCACGGACCGCAUGGCCUCGGGCUGGGAGUGCUUCAUUCAAAUAUCUGCCCUAUCAACUGUCGAUGGUAGGAUAGAAGCCUACCAUGGUUGCAACGAGGUAACAGGGAAUAAUGGUUCGAUUCCGGAAAGGGAACCUGAGAAACGGCUACCACAUCCAAGGAAGGGAACAUGCGCUCAAAUUACCCAAUCCCAACACGGAGAGGUAGUGACUAUAUGUAACAAUCUACGGCCUUAUACGUCGUAUAAUUGGAAUGAGUACAAUUUAAAUCCCUUAACGAUGAACAAUUGGAGGGCAAGUCUGGUGCCAGCAACCUCGGUAAUUCCAGCUCCAAUAACGUAUAUUACAGUUGUUGCAGUUAAAAAGCUCGUAGGUGGACCUUGGACCUGAACAGGCGGACCGCCUCACGGCGAGUACUGUCUUGCUGGGGCUUUCCUCUUGUUGAUCUGUUGGUUCAGCAGCAAGUAACCAUGACCUUUACUUUGAAAAAAUUAGAGUGUUCAAAGCAGGCUCGACACCAGAAUAUAUUAGCAUGGAAUAAUAAUAUAGGGCGUGCGCUGCUAUUUUAUUGGUUUGGGGAAUACACGUAAUGAUUGAUAGGGACAGUUGGGGGGCAAUAGUACUCACAUGCUAGAGGCGAAAGUGGUGGAUGUUCUGAAGACUAAGUUCUGCGAAAGCAUUUGCCAAGGAUGUUUUCGUUAAUCAAGAACGAAGGUUAGGGUAUCGAAAACGAUGAGAUACCGUUGUAGUCUAAGCAGUAAACUAUGCGGAGUAGGGAUCGGUCGAUGUUAUCUUUGUGACUCGAUCGGCACCUUACGAGAAAUCAAAGUUUUUGGGUUAUGGGGGGAGUAUGGUCGCAAGGCUGAAACUUAAAGAAAUUGACGGAAGGGCACCUCCAGGAGUGGAGCCUGCGGCUUAAUUUGAUUCAACACGGGGAAACUCACCAGGUCCAGACAUAGGAAGGAUUGACAGAUUGAUAGCUCUUUCUUGAUUCUAUGGGUGGUGGUGCAUGGCCGUUCUUAGUUGGUGGAGUGAUUUGUCUGGUUAAUUCCGAUAACGAACGAGACGUUAGCGUGCUAAAUAGCCCCAUCGACUAUGGUUGGUGGCUGGCUUCUUAGAGGGACUAUUGGCUUCCAGCCAAUGGAAGUUUGAGGCAAUAACAGGUCUGUGAUGCCUUUAGAUGUUCUGGGCCGCACGCGCGCUACACUGACGGAGCCAGCGAGUACGUUCCUUUUCCGGAAGGACUGGGUAGUCUUGUGAAACUUAGUCGUGUUGGGGAUAGAGCAGUGCAAUUAUUGUUCUUCAACGAGGAAUUGCAUAGUAAGCGUGAGUCAUCAGUUAGCGUUGAUUGCGUCCUUGCCCUUUGUACACACCGCCCGUCGUUACUACUGAUGGAAGGGUUUAGUGAGCCUUUGGGAUUGGCAGCUUGUACCGGCAACGGUAGCAGCCCGCCUGAAAAAUAUAGGCAAACUUGGUCUUUUAGAGGAGGUAAAAGUGGUAACAAAGGGGGAGUUUGCGGCCGCAAAUCAAUACCCC